rnacentral:lncRNA from 1 species
CCAAUUGGCCAGGCCGCCUGUCCUGCGCGACGGCUCGUUUCGGCAGCUCCGUAGGAUUGGUCGAAGUCUAGGCGCCGCCUCAGAGAUGGACUGUCGAUCACGUCGGGUCCGCCUGUGCCCGCCCCCUGCGGACCGGCGCUAGGGGAUUGGUCGGUGGGAAUCGGCGUGGUGGAAAACUCGGGAUGGAAUUUUAGGCGCUUUUGUUCCCUCAGAUUAGCCCGGAGCCUUGUUUUUUGGGCAAAGCCGGGCGUUGGGCCUCGGUGCUUUAUUCAUGAACGUGACGGCAAGGAGGCGGCGAUGGGCCCAGAAGCACCACCGGCUCCGGACUUCCCUCUGAUCUGCCCACCCGAGCUGUGUGACCUUGGGCGAAUCGUGAUUUCUCUCCGAGCCCCUUGCGCCUCCCGGGGAAGAUGCGGCAUCCAGUCAGGGAGAAGGAUUAGCAUGGGGGCCAGCAG